UUAAGCGACUAAGCGUACACGGUGGAUGCCCUGGCAGUCAGAGGCGAUGAAGGACGUGCUAAUCUGCGAUAAGCGUCGGUAAGGUGAUAUGAACCGUUAUAACCGGCGAUUUCCGAAUGGGGAAACCCAGUGUGUUUCGACACACUAUCAUUAACUGAAUCCAUAGGUUAAUGAGGCGAACCGGGGGAACUGAAACAUCUAAGUACCCCGAGGAAAAGAAAUCAACCGAGAUUCCCCCAGUAGCGGCGAGCGAACGGGGAGCAGCCCAGAGCCUGAAUCAGUGUGUGUGUUAGUGGAAGCGUCUGGAAAGGCGUGCGAUACAGGGUGACAGCCCCGUACACAAAAAUGCACAUGCUGUGAGCUCGAUGAGUAGGGCGGGACACGUGGUAUCCUGUCUGAAUAUGGGGGGACCAUCCUCCAAGGCUAAAUACUCCUGACUGACCGAUAGUGAACCAGUACCGUGAGGGAAAGGCGAAAAGAACCCCGGCGAGGGGAGUGAAAAAGAACCUGAAACCGUGUACGUACAAGCAGUGGGAGCACGCUUAGGCGUGUGACUGCGUACCUUUUGUAUAAUGGGUCAGCGACUUAUAUUCUGUAGCAAGGUUAACCGAAUAGGGGAGCCGAAGGGAAACCGAGUCUUAACUGGGCGUUAAGUUGCAGGGUAUAGACCCGAAACCCGGUGAUCUAGCCAUGGGCAGGUUGAAGGUUGGGUAACACUAACUGGAGGACCGAACCGACUAAUGUUGAAAAAUUAGCGGAUGACUUGUGGCUGGGGGUGAAAGGCCAAUCAAACCGGGAGAUAGCUGGUUCUCCCCGAAAGCUAUUUAGGUAGCGCCUCGUGAAUUCAUCUCCGGGGGUAGAGCACUGUUUCGGCAAGGGGGUCAUCCCGACUUACCAACCCGAUGCAAACUGCGAAUACCGGAGAAUGUUAUCACGGGAGACACACGGCGGGUGCUAACGUCCGUCGUGAAGAGGGAAACAACCCAGACCGCCAGCUAAGGUCCCAAAGUCAUGGUUAAGUGGGAAACGAUGUGGGAAGGCCCAGACAGCCAGGAUGUUGGCUUAGAAGCAGCCAUCAUUUAAAGAAAGCGUAAUAGCUCACUGGUCGAGUCGGCCUGCGCGGAAGAUGUAACGGGGCUAAACCAUGCACCGAAGCUGCGGCAGCGACACUAUGUGUUGUUGGGUAGGGGAGCGUUCUGUAAGCCUGUGAAGGUGUACUGUGAGGUAUGCUGGAGGUAUCAGAAGUGCGAAUGCUGACAUAAGUAACGAUAAAGCGGGUGAAAAGCCCGCUCGCCGGAAGACCAAGGGUUCCUGUCCAACGUUAAUCGGGGCAGGGUGAGUCGACCCCUAAGGCGAGGCCGAAAGGCGUAGUCGAUGGGAAACAGGUUAAUAUUCCUGUACUUGGUGUUACUGCGAAGGGGGGACGGAGAAGGCUAUGUUGGCCGGGCGACGGUUGUCCCGGUUUAAGCGUGUAGGCUGGUUUUCCAGGCAAAUCCGGAAAAUCAAGGCUGAGGCGUGAUGACGAGGCACUACGGUGCUGAAGCAACAAAUGCCCUGCUUCCAGGAAAAGCCUCUAAGCAUCAGGUAACAUCAAAUCGUACCCCAAACCGACACAGGUGGUCAGGUAGAGAAUACCAAGGCGCUUGAGAGAACUCGGGUGAAGGAACUAGGCAAAAUGGUGCCGUAACUUCGGGAGAAGGCACGCUGAUAUGUAGGUGAAGUCCCUCGCGGAUGGAGCUGAAAUCAGUCGAAGAUACCAGCUGGCUGCAACUGUUUAUUAAAAACACAGCACUGUGCAAACACGAAAGUGGACGUAUACGGUGUGACGCCUGCCCGGUGCCGGAAGGUUAAUUGAUGGGGUUAGCCGCAAGGCGAAGCUCUUGAUCGAAGCCCCGGUAAACGGCGGCCGUAACUAUAACGGUCCUAAGGUAGCGAAAUUCCUUGUCGGGUAAGUUCCGACCUGCACGAAUGGCGUAAUGAUGGCCAGGCUGUCUCCACCCGAGACUCAGUGAAAUUGAACUCGCUGUGAAGAUGCAGUGUACCCGCGGCAAGACGGAAAGACCCCGUGAACCUUUACUAUAGCUUGACACUGAACAUUGAGCCUUGAUGUGUAGGAUAGGUGGGAGGCUUUGAAGUGUGGACGCCAGUCUGCAUGGAGCCGACCUUGAAAUACCACCCUUUAAUGUUUGAUGUUCUAACGUUGACCCGUAAUCCGGGUUGCGGACAGUGUCUGGUGGGUAGUUUGACUGGGGCGGUCUCCUCCUAAAGAGUAACGGAGGAGCACGAAGGUUGGCUAAUCCUGGUCGGACAUCAGGAGGUUAGUGCAAUGGCAUAAGCCAGCUUGACUGCGAGCGUGACGGCGCGAGCAGGUGCGAAAGCAGGUCAUAGUGAUCCGGUGGUUCUGAAUGGAAGGGCCAUCGCUCAACGGAUAAAAGGUACUCCGGGGAUAACAGGCUGAUACCGCCCAAGAGUUCAUAUCGACGGCGGUGUUUGGCACCUCGAUGUCGGCUCAUCACAUCCUGGGGCUGAAGUAGGUCCCAAGGGUAUGGCUGUUCGCCAUUUAAAGUGGUACGCGAGCUGGGUUUAGAACGUCGUGAGACAGUUCGGUCCCUAUCUGCCGUGGGCGCUGGAGAACUGAGGGGGGCUGCUCCUAGUACGAGAGGACCGGAGUGGACGCAUCACUGGUGUUCGGGUUGUCAUGCCAAUGGCACUGCCCGGUAGCUAAAUGCGGAAGAGAUAAGUGCUGAAAGCAUCUAAGCACGAAACUUGCCCCGAGAUGAGUUCUCCCUGACUCCUUGAGAGUCCUGAAGGAACGUUGAAGACGACGACGUUGAUAGGCCGGGUGUGUAAGCGCAGCGAUGCGUUGAGCUAACCGGUACUAAUGAACCGUGAGGCUUAACCUU
rnacentral:rRNA from 1 species